AGCGAACGCUGGCGGCAGGCCUAACACAUGCAAGUCGAACGGAACCUUCGGGCUUAGUGGCGGACGGGUGAGGAACACGUGGGAACGUGCCCGUGGGUUCGGAACCACUCAGGGUGAGUUGAGCUAAUACCGGUGGUGCCCUUAGGGGGUAAGAUUUUUCGCCAUUGGCGCGGGGCGUGUCUGCUUAGGCAGUUGGGGAGGUAACGGCCCACCAAGGCGACGAUCCGUGGCUGGUGUGAUAGGAUGCUCCGGCACACUGGGACUGCGGCACGGACUAGACUCCUACGCGGAGCAGCAGUAGGGAGCAUUGCGCACUGGGCGCAAGCCUGACACAGCCAUGCCGCGUGAAUGAUCAAGGUCUUAGGAUUGCAAAAUUCUUUGAGCGGGGACGAUAAUGACGGUACCGGCAGAAGAAGCUCCGGCUAACUUCGUG
rnacentral:rRNA from 1 species